UGGGGAAUCUUCCGCAAUGGACGAAAGUCUGACGGAGCAACGCCGCGUGUAUGAUGAAGGUCUUCGGAUUGUAAAGUACUGUCAUUGGGGAAGAACGGUUUUCUUGAAAAGAUUGAGAAGACAUGACGGUACCCAAGGAGGAAGCCCCGGCUAACUACGUGCCAGCAGCCGCGGUAAUACGUAGGGGGCAAGCGUUGUCCGGAAUUAUUGGGCGUAAAGGGCGCGUAGGCGGGCCUUUAAGUCCGGUGUGAAAGAUCAGGGCUCAACCCUGAGAGUGCAUCGGAAACUGGAGGCCUUGAGGACAGGAGAGGAAAGUGGAAUUCCACGUGUAGCGGUGAAAUGCGUAGAUAUGUGGAGGAACACCAGUGGCGAAGGCGACUUUCUGGACUGUAACUGACGCUGAGGCGCGAAAGCGUGGGGAGCAAACAGGAUUAGAUACCCUGGUAGUCCACGCCGUAAACGAUGAGUGCUAGGUGUAGAGGGUAUCGACCCCUUCUGUGCCGCAGUUAACACAAUAAGCACUCCGCCUGGGGAGUACGGCCGCAAGGUUGAAACUCAAGGAAUUGACGGGGUCAUAGCUGUUUCC
rnacentral:rRNA from 1 species